GGAAGUAAAAGUCGUAACAAGGUCUCCGUUGGUGAACCAGCGGAGGGAUCAUUACUGAGUUUACGCUCUACAACCCUUUGUGAACAUACCUAUAACUGUUGCUUCGGCGGGUAGGGUCUCCGCGACCCUCCCGGCCUCCCGCCCCCGGGCGGGUCGGCGCCCGCCGGAGGAUAACCAAACUCUGAUUUAACGACGUUUCUUCUGAGUGGUACAAGCAAAUAAUCAAAACUUUUAACAACGGAUCUCUUGGUUCUGGCAUCGAUGAAGAACGCAGCGAAAUGCGAUAAGUAAUGUGAAUUGCAGAAUUCAGUGAAUCAUCGAAUCUUUGAACGCACAUUGCGCCCGCCAGCAUUCUGGCGGGCAUGCCUGUUCGAGCGUCAUUUCAACCCUCAAGCUCUGCUUGGUGUUGGGGCCCUACAGCUGAUGUAGGCCCUCAAAGGUAGUGGCGGACCCUCCCGGAGCCUCCUUUGCGUAGUAACUUUACGUCUCGCACUGGGAUCCGGAGGGACUCUUGCCGUAAAACCCCCCAAUUUUCCAAAGGUUGACCUCGGAUCAGGUAGGAAUACCCGCUGAACUUAAGCAUAUCAAUAAGCGGAGGA
rnacentral:rRNA from 1 species